CCUACGGGAGGCAGCAGUGGGGAAUAUUGCACAAUGGGGGAAACCCUGAUGCAGCGACGCCGCGUGAGUGAAGAAGUAAUUCGUUACGUAAAGCUCUAUCAGCAGGGAAGAAAAUUACGGUACCUGAGUACUAAGCCCCGGCUAACUACGUGCCAGCCGCCGCGGUCAUACGUAGGGGGCAAGCGUUAUCCGGACUUACUGGGUGUACAGGGGGCGUAGGCGGUGCGCGAAGAUUGCGAGGAAAUGCCGCAGCAUAACUGCGGAACUGCUUUGGAAACUGGCGAAAUAGAGUGCGGGAGGGGUAAGCGGAAUUCCUAGUGUAGCGGUGAAAUGCGUAGAUAUUAGGAGGAACACCGGUGGCGAAGGCGGGUUACUGGACCGUAACUGACGUUGAGGCUCGAAAGCGUGGGGAGCAAACAGGAUUAGAUACCCCGGUAGUC
rnacentral:rRNA from 1 species